UACGGAGGGGGCUAGCGUUGUUCGGAAUUACUGGGCGUAAAGCGCACGUAGGCGGCUUUGUAAGUUAGAGGUGAAAGCCCAGGGCUUAACCCUGGAAUUGCCUUUAAGACUGCAUCGCUAGAAUCGUGGAGAGGUGAGUGGAAUUCCGGGUGUAGCGGUGGAAUGCGUAGAGAUCCGGAGGAAGACCGGUGGCGAAGGCGGCCUGCUGGGCAGUUUCUGACACUGAUGCGCGACAGCGUGGGGAGCAAACAGG
rnacentral:rRNA from 1 species